rnacentral:lncRNA from 10 species
AUGCGCCCAAGUCAGACCCUCCGACCCGCGCGCUCCUGCGGCCCAGCGCGCGCCGCUCCCUCUGCCGACCUUCGCCCGUCAGGCUCCCGCCCCGCAUCCUCCUCGACCGCCCCCGGCCGGGCAGCCCUAGCCGGUUCCCGCCGCUCGGCGAGGCUGAGAAGGAGGCGGAACCCGCAUCCCCGCGGAGUCCAAGCCCCAGCGGCCGCAAAACUGGAACCGAGAACCAGUGGGAACGGCAGGAAGCGCGAGGCUCUUCUACUUUGUCGACAUCAGCUUUCCCUUGGCAGUGCCUUUCAGCUCAUUCCAGCAUCCCGCUUUGCCUUGCCUUUGAGGUCCGACAUCCUGGGUCAUUGUGUAUUUAAGUCCUGCACAGUCGCUUGUUUGCAGCGGCUGUAGAUGAACAUCCUCUCAUCAUCUGCUGGCUUGGUCUCAAGGCGCUUAAUAUCCUUGGCAGCUUUCUCAAACAACUGGCAGUUGUUGCAAGGAUUCCUGGGAGCCCACUGAGAAGGUAUGGAGCAGGAAGCUAUUGGAACUUAAUUUUUCAAUUGCAAAACUAAUAUAGCAAUAUUAAGAACAUUUUUGAGUAAAUAGAAACAUACUAUUAAGACUUAUUUUAACUUUGUUUUUGUUAUCAUUGGCCAUUUUAUAGACACAUUUGUUAUGCAUUGUAGCAUUGGUAAAAUUUUGUAUUCAGUCCUCUUUCAAGAAAAUUUUGGAGUAUGAGAAGUCAUCCUGAAAGAUUUGCUAGUCCCAUGAAGUAUUCCAGGAUUAUAUACCAGCAAAUUGGUGCUAUGGUCUGAAUAUGUAACCCUCCAAAAUUCAAGUGUCAUCCAUACUAAGAGUUAGGGCUUUUAAGAGAUGAUUAGGAGAUAUAGGCUUCUUCUUCAUUAAUGGGAUUAAGGCCCCUAUAAAAGAGGCUUCACAGCCAGGUGUGGUGGCUCACACCUGUAAUCCUAGCUCCUAGCACUUUGGGAGGCCGAGGCGGGUGGAUCGCCUGAGGUCCGGAGUUCGAGACCAGCCUAGCCAACAUGGUGAAACCCCAUCUCUACUAAAAAUACAAAAAAUUAGCUGGGCGUGGUGGCGGGCACCUGUAAUCCCAGGAAUUUGAGAGGCUGAGGCAGCAGAAUCACUUGGACCCAGGAGGCAGAGGUUGCAGUGAGCCCAGAUCACACCAUUGUACUCCAGCCUGGGCAACAAGAGCAAAACUCCAUCUCAAAGAAGAAAAACGAGGCUUCACACAGCAUGCAGCUUGUCCUUCAGCCUUCUGCCAUGUGAUAAUGCAGCAGGAAGGCUCUCACCAAACCAAAUGCUGGUCCCUCGGUCUUGGACUUUCCAGCUUCCAGAAUAGUGAGAAAUAAACUUCUGUUCUUUAUAAAUUACCUAGUCUCAAGUACUCUGUUAUAGCAGCACAAAAUGAACUAAGACAGCUGGCCUUCACCAUCCACUAGCAGAAAUAUAAAGGAGGCUGUUUUCCCAAUUCCCUUUCUCUACUAGGCCCAUUUAAAC